GGGACGAAGCCGGCGCCGUCGCUGGCCAGCGUCCGGCGGUUCAGCUCCGGCUCCAUGCACACCACCGUGGGGCAGCCCAGGAUGUGCGUCCGGAACAGGCUCCCGUACCUGCCCACACCAUGCCCAAUAUAUGCAGUGGCAGUAGUAUGAUAAUAAGGUGGUGGUGCUUUAGGAGGAUGAUGAUGGCAUGGUCCUAAGACACGGACAUAGUUGGCAUGGCGAAGGAAGGGCAAGAAAGCAAGCAGGGCACUCCUCUGCUCUGCUCUGCUCUUAAGGAAGACGAAGACAAGGGUGAAGAAGAGGCAGAGCACGGGACGGGACGGGACGGGACGGG